UACGUAGGUGGCUAGCGUUGUUCGGAUUUACUGGGCGUAAAGCGCAUGUAGGCGGGUCGUUAAGUUGGGGGUGAAAUCCCGAGGCUCAACCUCGGAACUGCCUUCAAAACUGGCGACCUGGAGCAAGAUAGAGGCAAGUGGAAUUGCGAGUGUAGAGGUGAAAUUCGUAGAUAUUCGCAGGAACACAAGUGGCGAAGGCGACUUGCUGGAUCUUUGCUGACGCUGAGAUGCGAAAGCGUGGGGAGCAAACAGG
rnacentral:rRNA from 1 species